UCUGUUUUUGUCAAAGCCAGGAUCAUUUUGAAAAACAAACACCUGGUUGGGUUAUUUUGACCCAGCAAUUGGUUUAUUAAUUGCCGCACUUUCUGGAUUCUUCGCUUCUGACUGGAUCACGCUACUCGGACCAGGCGGUAUUUCAUGAUCAUAUCACCAUGACAGUGGAACUUUUUUCAGCCUUUGCAGUUUGUCAGAUUUUGGAAAGCACCCCUGAGAGGAAAUCCGUAUUAAACCGUUAAAGUGCAAGCAAUUACCAACAAGCAGAGGAGGCUACUUGUGAGACUCCUUGCAUCCCAUCUGCUGGAAACCAAUGGUGAAACCUGAGCCAUCAUCAGACACUAAGAAGGCAUGUGACAAGGCAUUGGUGUAUGAAUUUCCUUGCCUGAAGGAUAUACAGCUGCUAAAGGGGAAACAGCACUGAAGAUGCCAACUCUGCUAGCUCCAUCCAUUUACAGGGGAGGAGGAGAAGUCUUCAGACCUACCACUGUGGAGGCCCAGAGGUCCUUUAUUGACAUGCAACCUGUGGGGACCAACAUGGUGGAAUAUCUGCAAAAUCAGAGAUGUUGCACGUUUUGUGACUUGGGGAUGAGCCAAGAAGGACCUGCCAGACCUUUGCCAUUGUUGGAGGCAAUGCCUCUGAGACAAACUCUUUGGUGAAGGAUGUUGAUAAGUUUUUUUUUGUCUUUGAUGUUAACUACACAAAGCAAUAGGUGUGUUCGACUUCAUGCAGCACUGCGCAGACCGAUCGGCAGGUGACUUGAAGCAGUGCAUUUUGGUUAGUACUUUUGUCCGACUUCAGCUGGCGCUGCAGGCACGUGACUGUGUCAUAUGGUUUUUAAGUACCGCGAGAGCGUUUCGAGAGUAGCCAGCUGGCUCAGCCGGUGCAGCUUCUCCAGAGCGGCUGCCCGGAGUUGUGAUGACGUAACAGCUUUACUUGAUUGGUCGCUUCAUUGAUGACAACGAUCACGUGCGUUUCAAGUUUAAUCCAACCUUUAGUUUCACUAAUAAACAUUAUAAAUUCAUGUUUUAAAACAGGAAAAAAACGCUUUAAUAUCCUAAAAUAUGUUAUAUUGUGUCGUGUAAUAAAAUAAAAAUGAAAAUAACAAACUCUAUUGGUAUUUUAAUAAUAUAGGCUUGUUUCCCGUUAUUUUCGGGUAUACAGUUUAAGCAGCAAUUAAAAUAUUCGAUAUAAAAUGUUUCUGGUUGCAACUUUUUAUCAAAAGGUUUGUUUUUAUCAAAUUCAGCAUCUAAUUCACUUAAUUUGCGAUUAUAAACAAGGAAACACGGCGCACACGUCACUACGGCAAGCAGCAGGUGUCCGGCUUGACGGCUCCGUCUUCAGUUCCUCCCUCGACUGCAAGCGGCAAACCUCGUCGAUCGGUCUGCGCAGCGCCGGAUGAUUUCGAACACACCUAUUGUCUUCCCACCUGGGAGUUUCACCAGGAUGCCAUUUAUCAGAUUGAUGGACAUGAGUCCUCCUCUGUUAACAUUUUGAGGACAACAUUUAAUCACUAAUAAUUAACUAUUUCAGUGCUAUGUUUGAAAGAUUCGCCCGCAAUGCCAACAGGAGUUUACUUACAGGCUGUGAGGUCAAGUGGGAGGAAUUAUGAUAAUUUCGGUCUUGUCUACGUCACCAAUCCCAGGAAGUAAACUGUUGCCUACAAUCUGUGUUUGUUGUAGUCCAAGAAAAGAGAUCACUCGCAUUAUCGUUUACUUUGGGGUUUGUACCUUUUGCAUAUCGUUAACAUGAAUUAAUACACAAUUACACACCAAAGGAAAUGUAAAAAUGUGAAUCGGACCAUAUCUGCUCUUUAAAAAAAAUUUUGUUUCAGGGCUUCUUGUUUUUAAUAACAUUUUGAUGAAUGAAAAUGUAAAGUAAAUAAAAUGCUAAUCAUCAUAGUUUAAAUAUUAAGAGUUAUAAAGUCCGUGGGGAUUGUUUGAUGUCAUAUGGGGGUUGUAACUUUUGUAUUAUACAAAUAUACAAAAAUGUAAUUAAAACAUUGUAUUAAAUGUGAAAAAAAUUAAAUGCAAUUUAAAUCACA